AGCGUAGGCGGGAUCGUAUGUCUGCCGUGAAAUCCACCGGCUCAACCGGUGAACUGCGGUAGAAACUACGAUUCUUGAGUUCGGUAGAGGAAUGCGGAAUUCCUGGUGUAGCGGUGGAAUGCGUAGAUAUCAGGAAGAACACCGGUAGCGAAGGCGGCAUUCUGGGCCGUAUCUGACGCUGAGGCUCGAAAGCCGGGGGAGCGAACAGGAUUAGAUACCCUGGUAGUCC
rnacentral:rRNA from 1 species